rnacentral:rRNA from 1 species
ACGAACGCUGGCGGCGUGCUUAACACAUGCAAGUCGAACGAUGACGACCGAGCUUGCUCGGUCUGAUUAGUGGCGAACGGGUGAGUAACACGUGAGCAACCUGCCCUUCACUCUGGGAUAACCUCGGGAAAUCGGGGCUAAUACCGGAUAUGAGCUCCUGUCGCAUGGCGGGUGUUGGAAAGUUUUUCGGUGAAGGAUGGGCUCGCGGCCUAUCAGUUUGUUGGUGAGGUAGUGGCUCACCAAGGCGAUGACGGGUAGCCGGCCUGAGAGGGCGACCGGCCACACUGGGACUGAGACACGGCCCAGACUCCUACGGGAGGCAGCAGUGGGGAAUAUUGCACAAUGGGCGCAAGCCUGAUGCAGCGACGCCGCGUGAGGGAUGACGGCCUUCGGGUUGUAAACCUCUUUCAGCAGGGAAGAAGCGAAAGUGACGGUACCUGCAGAAGAAGCGCCGGCUAACUACGUG